rnacentral:lncRNA from 1 species
AAGGAAAUGAAUUUAAACAUUAGAAACAAAAGAUAGAAAACACCUAAGCGCUCCAACGAUCCAAGUUGGACAGCAAGCACGUCCAAGCACUUUCCUUCCCUUCCUUUGCUACGGCACAAAGUGUUGGUGAGUGUUUGAAGGUUUGUUUGUAUGGAGGAAUGGAUGUGAAGAUGAAUGGAUGUGUUUGGGUGAAGGUUGUAUUGAAAUAGGGAUGAAUGAUCUAACCAAGUAUGAACUCCAUUUAUGUUACACACACUUCCUUUUAUAGAGGAAGUGCAAGGCAAAGCAUGGGUAAAAUGGAGUGGUGUUGAAAUGAUUUAAAGGUGAAAGUGAAGUAAUGAUGCAAAGCAUGG